rnacentral:rRNA from 1 species
GACGAACGCUGGCGGCGUGCCUAAUACAUGCAAGUCGAACGAACUCUGGUAUCGAUUGGUGCUUGCAUCAUGAUUUACAUUUGAGUGAGUGGCGAACUGGUGAGUAACACGUGGGAAACCUGCCCAGAAGCGGGGGAUAACACCUGGAAACAGAUGCUAAUACCGCAUAACAACUUGGACCGCAUGGUCCGAGUUUGAAAGAUGGCUUCGGCUAUCACUUUUGGAUGGUCCCGCGGCGUAUUAGCUAGAUGGUGAGGUAACGGCUCACCAUGGCAAUGAUACGUAGCCGACCUGAGAGGGUAAUCGGCCACAUUGGGACUGAGACACGGCCCAAACUCCUACGGGAGGCAGCAGUAGGGAAUCUUCCACAAUGGACGAAAGUCUGAUGGAGCAACGCCGCGUGAGUGAAGAAGGGUUUCGGCUCGUAAAACUCUGCUGUUAAAGAAGAACAUAUCUGAGAGUAACUGUUCAGGUAUUGACGGUAUUUAACCAGAAAGCCACGGCUAACUACGUGCCAGCAGCCGCGGUAAUACGUAGGUGGCAAGCGUUGUCCGGAUUUAUUGGGCGUAAGAGAGCGCAGGCGGUUUUUUAAGUCUGAUGUGAAAGCCUUCGGCUCAACCGAAGAAGUGCAUCGGAAACUGGGAAACUUGAGUGCAGAAGAGGACAGUGGAACUCCAUGUGUAGCGGUGAAAUGCGUAGAUAUAUGGAAGAACACCAGUGGCGAAGGCGGCUGUCUGGUCUGUAACUGACGCUGAGGCUCGAAAGUAUGGGUAGCAAACAGGAUUAGAUACCCUGGUAGUCCAUACCGUAAACGAUGAAUGCUAAGUGUUGGAGGGUUUCCGCCCUUCAGUGCUGCAGCUAACGCAUUAAGCAUUCCGCCUGGGGAGUACGGCCGCAAGGCUGAAACUCAAAGGAAUUGACGGGGGCCCGCACAAGCGGUGGAGCAUGUGGUUUAAUUCGAAGCUACGCGAAGAACCUUACCAGGCCUUGACAUACUAUGCAAAUCUAAGAGAUUAGACGUUCCCUUCGGGGACAUGGAUACAGGUGGUGCAUGGUUGUCGUCAGCUCGUGUCGUGAGAUGUUGGGUUAAGUCCCACAACGAGCGCAACCCUUAUUAUCAGUUGCAGCAUUAAGUUGGGCACUCUGGUGAGACUGCCGGUGACAAACCGGAGGAAGGUGGGGAUGACGUCAAAUCAUCAUGCCCCUUAUGACCUGGGCUACACACGUGCUACAAUGGAUGGUACAACGAGUUGCGAACUCGCGAGAGUAAGCUAAUCUCUUAAAGCCAUUCUCAGUUCGGAUUGUAGGCUGCAACUCGCCUACAUGAAGUCGGAAUCGCUAGUAAUCGCGGAUCAGCAUGCCGCGGUGAAUACGUUCCCGGGCCUUGUACACACCGCCCGUCACACCAUGAGAGUUUGUAACACCCAAAGUCGGUGGGGUAACCUUUUAGGAACCAGCCGCCUAAGGUGGGACAGAUGAUUAGGGUG